UACGGAGGGUGCGAGCGUUGUCCGGAAUCACUGGGCGUAAAGGGCGCGUAGGUGGCCUGUGGAAGUCUGCGGUGAAAGCCCGGCGCUCAACGCCGGGUCGGCCGUGGAUACUCUCGGGCUCGAGCUUACUAGAGGCAGAUGGAAUUCCGGGUGUAGCGGUGGAAUGCGUAGAUAUCAGGAGGAACACCGGUGGCGAAGGCGGGUCUCUGGGCCGAUACUGACGCUGAGGAGCGAAAGCGUGGGGAGCGAACAGG
rnacentral:rRNA from 1 species